rnacentral:misc_RNA from 1 species
UAAAGAUUCAUUUUUAACAAAAAUCCUACUCUCCUCUUCCAAGAAUAGUCUUAGUCUUUCACUGGGUCGAACAAAUGAGACCGGUUCUGAUUUGGGUCUGACCCGAUCCAGAUAUAAAUCAAACAAACCGGGGUUCCAAUCAAGAAAAGUUUUGAUUUUUACUUGCAACCCCAAUCUUUCACGUCGUUUCUCUAAAUAGUGAAGAGGGAUUACCUGACCCGGCUCGUUUAGCACUUCUUUGACAACUCUUGCACACUGCUUCCACUUCUUGUCGUUUUCAAUGGCUUGGUCUAGCUUUGGGUCCUUCCGCCAUGCCACUUUCAGGCUUGAAAUUGAUGCUUUGAAUUGCAUGAAAAACCCAUACUCAUGAUGUUUCCGGUUAGUGCUUCUGAGUGAAUGUACAAGCCGAUUACUGAAUUGCAUUUCUG